AUGUCUCACUGCACCCCUUGUGACCCAGGGCACUACUGUGCAUUUGCAGGGCAGCCACAUGUUACAGGGCCCUGUUUGGCUGGAUUCUACUGCAGUGGAGGAGUUUCGAGUCCAACACCUACUGAUGGCCUUCUGGGAAACAAAUGCCCUAAGGGAACUUAYUGCCCUAUGGGCACUGCCUUUCCUCAGCCAUGUCCUCCUGGUUAUUACAGCAACUCAACUGGGAACACUGGGAUUGAGGGCUGUCUCCCGUGUGAUGCAGGGUAUUUCUGCAAUGGAACUGGACUUUUAUCUCCGUCUGGACUAUGUGAAGCUGGAUUCUACUGUAGUGGAGGCACUGUUUCUUCUAAACCCCCCAGGACAACAGUCARUGGAGGACCAUGUCCACCUGGACAUUACUGUGUGGUGGGGAGCAGCAGAGCCCAGCCUUGCCCUGCAGGGAGUUAUAGUCCAACUUGGAGUAUGGCACAAUGUUUGGAGUGCCCAGAAGGCUUUUACUGCAAGACUGCUUCCACAAAUUACACGGAUUGCCCUGCAGGACACUACUGCCCCAGGAGUACAGAAUUUGCCACACAGUACCCUUGUCCCCCUGGAACCUACAGUGAAGCUUUAAAUAUCUGGGAUGUCUCCAAGUGCCAGCUGUGUCCUCCUGGAAUGGUCUGUUCCAAGCCAGGCCUAGCGAGACCAGAUGGACUGUGCAUGCCUGGAUGGUUUUGUCCACCUGGAUCCACAUCAAGCAAACCAGUUUUUCCUGGAGGUCACUCUGGUACUAAGAGGAAUUAUAAAGCUUGA
rnacentral:lncRNA from 1 species